rfam:Ornithorhynchus anatinus chromosome X5, whole genome shotgun sequence.
CCACUCUCAGGGUCACAGCUGGAGAGUUUCCAGUACUCUACCAGUCUUGGCUACAGGAGGGAGAGUCAAGCAAAGACAUACCCAUUCCAUUCCUAGCUUGGCCAGUGACUAGUGAGUGGAAGGCAAUCGGCUACAAGU